ACUCGAGUGGCGAACGGGUGAGUAACACGUGGGUGAUCUGCCCUGCACUUCGGGAUAAGCCUGGGAAACUGGGUCUAAUACCGGAUAGGAGCUCCUGCUGCAUGGUGGGGUUGGAAAGUUUCGGCGGUUGGGGAUGGACUCGCGGCUUAUCAGCUUGUUGGUGGGGUAGUGGCUUACCAAGGCUUUGACGGGUAGCCGGCCUGAGAGGGUGACCGGCCACAUUGGGACUGAGAUACGGCCCAG
rnacentral:rRNA from 1 species